rnacentral:rRNA from 1 species
UAGUCCACGCCGUAAACGAUGAUAACUAGCUGUCCGAACCCACAGGGUUUGGGUGGCGCAGCUAACGCAUUAAGUUAUCCGCCUGGGGAGUACGGUCGCAAGAUUAAAACUCAAAGGAAUUGACGGGGGCCUGCACAAGCGGUGGAGCAUGUGGUUUAAUUCGACGCAACGCGCAGAACCUUACCAGCUUUUGACAUCCUGGUCGCGGAUUUGGGAGACCAUUUCCUUCAGUUCGGCUGGACCAGUGACGGGUGCUGCAUGGCUGUCGUCAGCUCGUGUCGUGAGAUGUUGGGUUAAGUCCCGCAACGAGCGCAACCCUCAUCCUUAGUUGCUACCAUUUAGUUGGGCACUUUAAGGAAACUGCCGGUGAUAAGCCGGAGGAAGGUGGGGAUGACGUCAAGUCCUCAUGGCCCUUACAAGCUGGGCUACACACGUGCUACAAUGGCGAUGACAGUGGGCAGCGACCCCGCAAGGGUGAGCUAAUCUCCAAAAGUCGUCUCAGUUCGGAUUG